CCGGAAUUUGACCACAGAAGAAUCCAGAGAUGGAUUUGUGCCUUCGGGAACUGUGAGACAGGUGCUGCAUGGCUGUCGUCAGCUCGUGUUGUGAAAUGUUGGGUUAAGUCCCGCAACGAGCGCAACCCUUAUCCUUUG
rnacentral:rRNA from 1 species